AAGGUGGUUCGGUUCGGUUUAUUCAGUUUAAAUCGAAUACUGCUCAUUCCUACCUCUACCCAGAUAAAACCUCUAAAUUUACUAUCUUAGUGUAUUCUAGCUGCUAACCACAUGGCACAUACUCAUUUUCCCAUCCAAGAUUCCAGAACAUCCAUAACUUAAAUUGUCAACUGUUUACAAAAUAAUCAAUGAGAACCAUAAU
rnacentral:misc_RNA from 1 species